GCGCCGGUGGUGUAAGGCGAACAUCGCUGCCCGGAAAGCAGAAGUUGCGGGUUCGAGUCCCGCCUGGCGCA
rnacentral:tRNA from 1 species